rnacentral:rRNA from 1 species
AGUGAACGCUGGCGGUAGGCCUAACACAUGCCAGUCGAACGGCAGCACAGUAAGAGCUUGCUCUUACGGGUGGCGAGUGGCGGACGGGUGAGGAAUACAUCGGAAUCUACUUUUUCGUGGGGGAUAACGUAGGGAAACUUACGCUAAUACCGCAUACGACCUACGGGUGAAAGCAGGGGAUCUUCGGACCUUGCGCGAUUGAAUGAGCCGAUGUCGGAUUAGCUAGUUGGCGGGGUAAAGGCCCACCAAGGUGACGAUCCGUAGCUGGUCUGAGAGGAUGAUCAGCCACACUGGAACUGAGACACGGUCCAGACUCCUACGGGAGGCAGCAGUGGGGAAUAUUGGACAAUGGGCGCAAGCCUGAUCCAGCCAUACCGCGUGGGUGAAGAAGGCCUUCGGGUUGUAAAGCCCUUUUGUUGGGAAAGAAAAGCAGCAGGUUAAUACCCCGCUGUUCUGACGGUACCCAAAGAAUAAGCACCGGCUAACUUCGU